ACGAAGGGUGCAAGCGUUACUCGGAAUUACUGGGCGUAAAGCGUGCGUAGGUGGUUGUUUAAGUCUGUCGUGAAAGCCCUGGGCUCAACCUGGGAAUUGCGAUGGAUACUGGGCGACUAGAGUGUGGUAGAGGGUGGCGGAAUUCCCGGUGUAGCAGUGAAAUACGUAGAUAUUAGGAGGAACACCGGUGGCGAAGGCGGCUAUCUGGACGACAACUGACGCUGAGGCGCGAAAGCGUGGGGAUCAAACAGGA
rnacentral:rRNA from 1 species